UACGGGGGGGGGCAAGCGUUGUUCGGAAUUACUGGGCGUAAAGGGCUUGUAGGUGGCCAACUAAGUCAGACGUGAAAUCCCUCGGCUUAACCGGGGAACUGCGUCUGAUACUGGAUGGCUUGAGUGUGGGAGAGGGUGGCGGAACUCCGGGUGUAGCGGUGAAAUGCGUAGAUAUCCGGAAGAACACCGAUGGCGAAGGCAACCACCUGGGCCUGCAUUGACGCUGAGGUACGAAAGCGUGGGGAGCAAACAGG
rnacentral:rRNA from 1 species